rnacentral:rRNA from 1 species
UACGUAGGUGGCGAGCGUUGUCCGGAUUUACUGGGCGUAAAGAGCGCGCAGGCGGUCGUUCAAGUCGCGUGUGAAAGCCCCCGGCUCAACUGGGGAGGGUCACGCGAUACUGAUCGACUCGAAGGCAGGAGAGGGAAGUGGAAUUCCCGGUGUAGAGGUGAAAUUCGUAGAUAUUCGGAAGAACACCAGUGGCGAAGGCGACUCACUGGACACAUAUUGACGCUGAGGUGCGAAAGCGUGGGGAGCAAACAGG